GAGAUAUCGAGUGUCGCGGUCGCGUCUUCGAUCUCCAGCGCCGUGAUUCCCGGCGGCAGGGUCGGGAUGAAGGAUGCAUCGAGAAUCGUGCAGCCGAAACCUGAUCGCACCAGUUGCAGCAGGACGGGGACGUCGUNNNAAUCGUCAGGGAGAGGCCACGGUCCGUCACCAAUUCAUCGAUCAGCGCGCGGAAACCGCGCCAUCGCCGGACGCUGCCGAUCACCAGCGGAGCGGUGGACAGGGUUCGCAGCGAGAUCGUACGGUUUGCUGCCC
rnacentral:misc_RNA from 1 species